UACGAAGGGGACUAGCGUUGUUCGGAUUUACUGGGCUUAAAGGGCGCGUAGGCGGGCUGUCAAGUCUGGGGUGAAAUCCCGCGGCUCAACCGUGGAACUGCCUCAGAUACUGACGGCCUCGAGGGAGGUAGGGGCGAGCGGAACGGAUGGUGGAGCGGUGAAAUGCGUUGAUAUCAUCCGGAACUCCGGUGGCGAAGGCGGCUCGCUGGACCUCUUCUGACGCUGAGGCGCGAAAGCUAGGGGAGCAAACGGG
rnacentral:rRNA from 1 species